UACGUAGGUGGCAAGCGUUAUCCGGAUUUAUUGGGUGUAAAGGGCGUGUAGGCGGGAGCGCAAGUCAGAUGUGAAAACUCAGGGCUCAACCCUGAGCCUGCAUUUGAAACUGUGUUUCUUGAGUGCUGGAGAGGCAAUCGGAAUUCCGUGUGUAGCGGUGAGAUGCGUAGAUAUACGGAGGAACACCAGUGGCGAAGGCGGAUUGCUGGACAGUAACUGACGCUGAGGCGCGAAAGCGUGGGUAUCGAACAGG
rnacentral:rRNA from 1 species